AAUGAACGUUGGCGGCGUGGAUUAGGCAUGCAAGUCGAACGCUAUAUGUAGCAAUACAUGAAGAGUGGCGUAAGGGAGAGUAAUCCAUGGUUAGCUACCCUCGUGUCUGGGAUAGCGGCGGGAAACUGCCGGUAAUACCAGAUGACAUCUUCGGAUCAAAGGUGUGAUUCCGCCCGGGGAGGCGACCGUGUCCUAUCAGCUAGUUGGCGGUGUAAUAGACCACCAAGGCUAAGACGGGUAUGGGGCGUGAGAGCGUGCCCCCACUCACUGGGACUGAGACACGGCCCAGACACCAACGGGUGGCUGCAGUCGAGAAUCUUCGGCAAUGGGCGCAAGCCUGACCGAGCGACGCCGCGUGCGGGAUGAAGGCUUUCGGGUUGUAAACCGCUGUCGUAGGGGAGGAAGCGACCGUGAAGAACGGAAGUUGACCGAUCCUAGGAGGAAGGGCCGGCUAAUCUCGUGCCAGCCGCCGCGGUAA
rnacentral:rRNA from 1 species